rnacentral:rRNA from 1 species
AGUGAACGCUGGCGGUAGGCCUAACACAUGCAAGUCGAACGGCAGCACAGUAAGAGCUUGCUCUUACGGGUGGCGAGUGGCGGACGGGUGAGGAAUACAUCGGAAUCUACUUUUUCGUGGGGGAUAACGUAGGGAAACUUACGCUAAUACCGCAUACGACCUACGGGUGAAAGCAGGGGAUCUUCGGACCUUGCGCGAUUGAAUGAGCCGAUGUCGGAUUAGCUAGUUGGCGGGGUAAAGGCCCACCAAGGCGACGAUCCGUAGCUGGUCUGAGAGGAUGAUCGGCCACACUGGAACUGGGACACGGUCCAGACUCCUGCGGGAGGCAGCAGUGGGGAAUAUUGGACAAUGGGCGCAAACCUGAUCCAGCCAUACCGCGUGGGUGAAGAAGGCCUUCGGGUUGUAAAGCCCUUUUGUUGGGAAAGAAAAGCAGCAGGUUAAUACCCCGCUGUUCUGACGGUACCCAAAGAAUAAGCACCGGCUAACUUCGUG